UCUAUCCUGGGAGGGGGACAACCGUGGGAAACUACGGCUAAUACCGCAUGAUCCCUGAGGGGCAAAGGCGAAAGUCGCCUGAGGAGGAGCUCGCGUCUGAUUAGGUAGGUGGUGGGGUAAAGGCCUACCAAGCCUGCGAUCAGUAGCUGGUCUGAGAGGAUGAUCAGCCACACUGGGACUGAGACACGGCCCAGACUCCUACGGGAGGCAGCAGUGGGGAAUAUUGGACAAUGGGCGAAAGCCUGAUCCAGCAAUGCCGCGUGGAUGAAGAAGGUCUUCGGAUUGUAAAGUCCUUUUGGCGGGGACGAUGAUGACGGUACCCGCAGAAUAAGCUCCGGCUAACUUCGUGCCAGCAGCCGCGGUAAU
rnacentral:rRNA from 1 species